rnacentral:rRNA from 1 species
GACGAACGCUGGCGGCGUGCUUAACACAUGCAAGUCGACAUUAGUGGCGAACGGGUCAGUAAUACGUGGGUAACCUGACCUCCUUUUUGGGAUAAGCCUUGGAAACGGGGUCUAAUACCGAAUAAAGCGGGAUGGGCUCGCGGCCUAUCAGCGUGUUAGUGGGGUGAUUGCUUACCAAGGCGGUUACGGGUAGCCGGCCUGAGAGGGUGCACGGCGACAUAGGUGCUGAGGUACGGCACAGACUCCUACGCGUGGCAGAAGUGGGGGAUAUUGCACAAUGGGCGAAAGCGUGAUGCAGCGACACCGAGUGGGGGAUGAAGGCUUUCGGGUUGUAAACCUCUUUCACUAUAGAACGGGUAGGUGGAGAAGAAGCGCCGGCUAACUACGUGCCAGCAGCCGCGGUAAUAC